AACUUCUGAAUGUUGACCUCGGAUCAGGUAGGAAUACCCGCUGAACUUAAGCAUAUCAAUAAGCGGAGGAAAAGAAACCAACAGGGAUUGCCCUAGUAACGGCGAGUGAAGCGGCAACAGCUCAAAUUUGAAAUCUGGCUCUCGGGCCCGAGUUGUAAUUUGUAGAGGAUGCUUUUGAUGCGGUGCCUUCCGAGUUCCCUGGAACGGGACGCCAUAGAGGGUGAGAGCCCCGUCUGGUUGGAUGCCAAAUCUCUGUAAAGCUCCUUCGACGAGUCGAGUAGUUUGGGAAUGCUGCUCUAAAUGGGAGGUAUAUGUCUUCUAAAGCUAAAUACCGGCCAGAGACCGAUAGCGCACAAGUAGAGUGAUCGAAAGAUGAAAAGCACUUUGAAAAGAGAGUUAAAAAGUACGUGAAAUUGUUGAAAGGGAAGCGUUUAUGACCAGACUUGGGCUUGGUUAAUCAUCUGGGGUUCUCCCCAGUGCACUUUUCCAGUCCAGGCCAGCAUCAGUUUUCGCCGGGGGAUAAAGGCUUCGGGAAUGUGGCUCUCUCCGGGGAGUGUUAUAGCCCGUUGCGUAAUACCCUGGCGGGGACUGAG
rnacentral:rRNA from 1 species